AGCAAGGCAAACUGUAUUCAUAAAAUUUAGCUAGAGUAUUAUGAAAAAUACAUUCAAGAAAAACUAAUCCCUUGUUCUCAUGAACAUCAAUUUCUGAAACAAGGAAACUGGAAAAAACAAAAAGAAGAAAACUAGAACCAGGCUAUAUGAUUAUAUCAGGAUCAACCUUAACAUACAUCAUAAUCACAGAUCUAAUUUUGACCUUUGUUUUGCCAAUCUUGGCGAAGUCCUAACACAAUUCCCAGAACUGGACCCAUUCUCCCCAUCACUUUUGCCCUUCUUUCCACCCUUCAAUUUCUUCACCCCAAAAUCCUCUCUAUUCAACUCCUCAACCACCUUCAUCACCGCAUCACCCACAACACCGGUACCGCCUUUCUCCAACCCCCUUCUCCUUGUACUUACCCUGACCGCAUCACUAGUCUUUCCAAUCUUAUUCACAUCAUUCUCCUUCGCCACCUUUUCGAAGUCCCCCACAAGCUUUCUCACCGGCUUCUUCUUACCAGCUGCCCCCACCUUCUCCGUAACCUGUUGUUCUUCCUCUUCGCUAUCCUCGUCAAACAAAUCCAUAAAUCUCCUUCUUUUUGUCACCAUAGGAGCCGGAGGCGGAGAAUCAGAGCCAACCCUCUUCCUGUUGUUCUCGUUCUUACCUUUAACCCCACUUGGUAGUGGACCUCUUGAGACUUUGGGGCUAUUACUGACUUGUAAUUUUGCUAGUUUCUCGCGGUGCUUACGGAGCUUGUUGACAUUGCCCUCGAUGCGGCCUUGAAGGCGGAGACGCUUGAAGCUAAGACCACCCAUAGACCAAUGAGCCUCCUCUGCCCAGGAGAGCAAGGGGUCCAUGACGGGCACAGGUGGGUCCACCCUAUCUGGAUUCAGCUUUACGUCGGUGUAGAUACGAGGGCGAGGGAGGCUACUGCCGUAGAACUUGCCGGGACCUAAAGAGACUACCAUGAUCGAUUAGGCUAACAGCAAGUAUAAGGGUGGGCUGAUUUUCCUGGGGGAAUUUCAACGAAUGGUUGGUGGUUUUCUUGUUAGUCUUUUGGGUUAUAAACAGAGAGCAGUAGGUGGCGCGGGGAACCUUGGCGGGAGGACUUGGCGCCAAAAAGUUGGCGCCAUGGAUUUUUGGGAUUUGAAAAUUGGGCUCUUUUGAGUCGUAUAUAAAAGUGAGGGAGGAUUUUUCAGUGAAUUUGGCGGCA
rnacentral:misc_RNA from 1 species